GAGUAAUUAGUUCAAAUGGUAGAGCAUUUCGUUUACAUUGAAAAAGUUAAUGGUUCGAGUCCAUUAUUACUCA
rnacentral:tRNA from 1 species